rnacentral:rRNA from 1 species
AGGGCACCACCAGGAGUGGAGCCUGCGGCUUAAUUUGACUCAACACGGGGAAACUUUCCCGGCCUGGACACUGGGAGGGUUGACAGAUUGAGAGCUCUUUCUUGAUUUAGUGGGUGGUGGUGCAUGGCCGUUCUUAGUUGGUGGAGCGAUUUGUCUGGUUAAUUCCGAUAACGAACGAGACUCUAGCCUAUUAAAUAGGCUCUCGGCUUUUAAACGCCGGGAGGACUUCUUAGAGGGACAGGUGGCGGUUCAGCCGCACGAAAGAGAGCAAUAACAGGUCUGUGAUGCCCUUUGUUGUCCGGGGCCGCACGCGCGCUACACUGAAGAGAUCAGCGUGCUUUACGUUCCUGCUCCGACCGGAGUGGGGAACCCAGUGAACCUUCUUCGUGAUUGGGAUAGAAGAUUGUAAUUAUUCUUCUUGAACGAGGAAUUCCCAGUAAAUGCGAGUCAUAAGCUCGCGUUGAUUACGUCCCUGCCCUUUGUACACACCGCCCGUCGCUACUACCGAUUGAACGAUUU